rnacentral:rRNA from 1 species
AAUCAACGCUGGCGGCGUGCCUCAGACAUGCAAGUCGAACGCGAAAGUCCCCUUCGGGGGAUGAGUAGAGUGGCGCACGGGUGAGUAACACGUAGGUAAUCUACCUUCGGGUGGGGAAUAACAACCGGAAACGGUUGCUAAUACCGCAUAAUGCAGCGGCACCUAAUGGUGACAGUUGUUAAAGCGGGGGAUCGCAAGACCUCGCGCCUGAAGAGGAGCCUGCGGCGGAUUAGCUAGUUGGCAGGGUAACGGCCUACCAAGGCGACGAUCCGUAGCCGGCCUGAGAGGGCGGUCGGCCAUACUGACACUGACAUACGGGUCAGACUCCUACGGGAGGCAGCAGUCGGGAAUUUUGGGCAAUGGGCGAAAGCCUGACCCAGCAACGCCGCGUGAAGGAUGAAAUCCCUCGGGAUGUAAACUUCGCAAGAACGGGGAGAAUAAGCCGGUGUCAACACCACCGGCGAUGACGGUACCGUUUGUAAGCUCCGGCUAACUCCGUGCCAGCAGCCGCGGUAAUAC